AUGGACUUAGAGGAUUUUAAUACUGCUUGCAAACUUCCACAAUGGGGUAGUCCUAGUGAACCUCGCAAAUCUGAGUUUAGAGAUUUUCUUGCUAGUAUAACUGUGGGGGAGUCUAGAAAUAUAACACAAGCUACCAUAGGGAGCAUUCAUUUUCCUGCUAUACAUUAUUUUGCUCUCUUCAUAGGUAGGUGCAUAAAUGGUAAGGAUGAAGCAUGUCACAUGUGUGUCCCUGAUCUCAGUGUUCUCAGGAGCGCUGUGUUAGGAGAUAAAUAUUAUAAUUUGGGAGCCAUUGUUGCACGUAGGUUGCAUAAUAAUAGAAUUAAUGGAGAUUUCUUUGGUGGAAUUUAUGCAACCCAUUUAGCUAAUUUUCUUGGAAUACCUAUUCGUGAUUAUGAUAUGGAAUUGCCUCCUUCUUAUUUAGAUUUUAAUGCCAUGGUUCACCAUCAGUUAGUUGAGAGGAAUGAACCGCCUCUCCAGCACCGACUAAUCUUUGACAGACGUCACGCCGUCAAUAUUGUCCUCCCUGCUCCUACUCUCUUUGACUUUCAGGCAAAGGGGAGAUAUGUCAUAACCAGGGAGGAGGCAAAUGCGAAUGAGAGGAGGACGAGGGCAGCUCGCCUCCAAGCUGCAGCCCACGAUGCAAUAGCUGUUGCAUCUCAGUACGACCCCAACUAUAACUUUGGAUAUCCGCCAGGCCAGCCAUGGCAAUAG
rnacentral:rRNA from 1 species